AGGCCUGAACCAGACAGCAUCUUUGGGAAAGGUAUCAAAGUUGCUUCAUUUAUAUCCUUGUCUAUGACCUGCUGAGCACGUGUGUGACUGGAUGCCCUUUCUUCCUCUGUGGACAACAGAAAGUCAUCAGCACCUAAGGAGUGCAGCUGUUGAUAAGUAACAGGGGUUGAAGGACGUGCACAACUGAAAGGAGAAGUCUCUUCUUGUUCCUGAUGCUCCAUUUGUUCCGAAAAUGACUCUAAAAUCAAGUUUAGUGAAAGCAACAUUUGUAAUGUAUUAAUUUAAUUUCUGGGUACUUCGUCACAAACACAGUAUGUUAUAGCAGUAUAUAUUGCUGACACUGGUGCAACUAAGAAAUCUGCUCAGAGAGAUUGCCACUAAGUGGGAAAAUGCCAAAGUGCAUGAAUGACUUUGUCACUUUUAGAACAUCAACACCUGAUGUUUUCCUUUGUAGGCUUGAGACAGCUUCUCUCCCAAACACACCACCUGGACACAACACGAAAAAGCAAUGCUUUGGCUGGGUGGUGGCGGCGCACACCUUUAAUUGAAACACUUGGGAGGCAGAGGCUGGUGGAUCUCUCUGAGUUCAAGGCCAGCCUGGUCUGCAGAGUGAACUCCAGAACAGCCAGGACUGUUACACAGAGAAACACUGUCUGGAAAAACAACCCCCCCCCCACCCCAAAGAAAAAGCAAUGCUUCCUUCAUUCCUACAUUGCAGAUGAGCCUGUGCUGUUCUUCAGUGUGCUCAAAAAGUACCUGGGUCUGUAAGGCUCAAAUCUGUGAGUUCAUAACUUAAGAAGCUUCCAGUAGAAACAGUUACUGAAGAUAACGGCUCCUGAGAAAUGUCUUGUGUUUCAGCCUAAAAUUUCAAAGGAGCAGAACACAACUGUAAUGGCCCUGGCUGGAGUGAAACAUAACUGCUACAUCCCUGCGGGGAAACCCCCUUAGCAGAGCAGAGCUGUAACUGAAGCCCCUUGAGCCACUCAAGUGACAGGCCUUUCCCCUGAGGACCUCCAACUGCCAGCUUCCACCCACAGAAAACUAACUGCCCUAAAUGCUGGACCCUGCCCCCACCCUGCAGAGUGAAAAAGCCCAAUCUCUGGAUGUGAAAUCCCAAUCAACCCUGAAAAGUUCUACCCGCUUCCCAAGAAACUCUCUAUAAGCCCUGUACCCUGUUCAGUUUGCUGCUGCUUCUCACCCGAGCAGACGCAGCUACCGUCGUGUUCUCCCCCUGCCAAUAAAUCUCUUGUGUGA